GUGCCUGAAACAGGAACUUUGUAUUAAAAUGAACUAAAGAAAAAAUUAUAACUGUACAAUUUGUUACUAUUACUAACAUGUUUAAAGCAAGACACUGGGGCAGCACAAAAACCAGGUUCAACCAGUUGUGGGGUCCAGUCAUAAGAACCUGCCAUAUCAGCAGUUCUUUUCCUUCUUACAGAUUCACUUGGAGAAGAUGGAUUUACAGAUACAGGUGUCUCUACUGAAUGUGAUGGACUAUACGUAGAGUCAGCAGUAGGAGCGGUAUGUUCCGAAGAUCUUGCACACGCUCUACUACAGAAUCUACGUUCUUUCGUGUAAAAUGCAUGUUUUACACCAAUAGCACCACAUUUUUCGCAAACAGCUGUCAGAAACAAAAUAACUUUAUAAAUAUGUACCAUAAAUAUAUAGACGCAUUCUAUAACUUACCUAUACCAUCUUUACGAAUAGGAAUAAAAUUUAAGUCUGUAUGAGGUUGGUAUGCAAUGGGUGUUUUUAAAACAAGCCCAGGAUGUUUUAUAGGUUUUAUUUUCCUAUUACGAUUGUCUUGAGUAGUUUGGGUUGCUGCAUUGUUUACAACUUGUUCCCGUUCUUCAUCACCCAUGUAAUCUUCUAAUGUUAAAUACUCUGCCAUUUCUUGUCUUUCAGACUGUGAAUCAUAUUCCUAAAGGAACAACAACAAUAAUGAUAAAUAAAAGGAAAAAUUUUCAUACAAGAAUGUAAGUAUUUAAAUUUAAAAAAAGGAAAUUUACCUGUUGUAUUUCCUGGGCAUCAACAGCUUCCAUAGCUUCAUCAGGUUCAGAACAUUCAUUAGAAAACUGAGGUGGUAAAUACCGUACCAUAGUAGUAGGUGCAAUUUGAUGAUUUCUAAUGUCUUCGUAUGGAUUUGAACCAUGAGAGAAGAAUGGACUUUCUGCUUGACGAGGAUCCAACAUAAGUUCAUGUGUAGGUUCUCCAUGUACCAUCAUAUCUCCCAUCCAUACCAUCCCUAAUUCCGGUAAUCCAGGGAUGGAAGCAUACACUGAAUUCAUACAAAUAUCCAUUCCUAUAUUCACAUAAUGAUUGCAAUAUUACUUUUAGACAGAUUUAAAUGUAAUUAUACUUUUUAAUAUGAAAUAAUAAAAUAAUGCGAUUAAAGCAGUAUCUUUCGUCACGAAACAAAAUUAUUGUAUCCAAAUAUACAGAUUUUAACUAGGCGAAGACACUCGAUAGACAGAAGCAUUCCUGGAUCAUACAGGAACAUUUAUUUAACAAAGUAUCCACAGUACACAAAAUAUAACACAGAGACUUUUGAAAUAAACGCUACUAUAUUUGAAUUCCAUUCAAUAUCGUAUAAAAUAUGAAAAAAAAAAAAAAA